rnacentral:rRNA from 1 species
GAUGAACGCUGGCGGCGUGCCUAAUACAUGCAAGUCGAGCGAACAGAUAAGGAGCUUGCUCCUUUGACGUUAGCGGCGGACGGGUGAGUAACACGUGGGUAACCUACCUAUAAGACUGGGAUAACUUCGGGAAACCGGAGCUAAUACCGGAUAACAUUUGGAACCGCAUGGUUCUAAAGUGAAAGAUGGUUUUGCUAUCACUUAUAGAUGGACCCGCGCCGUAGUAGCUAGUUGGUAAGGUAACGGCUUACCAAGGCGACGAUACGUAGCCGACCUGAGAGGGUGAUCGGCCACACUGGAACUGAGACACGGUCCAGACUCCUACGGGAGGCAGCAGUAGGGAAUCUUCCGCAAUGGGCGAAAGCCUGACGGAGCAACGCCGCGUGAGUGAUGAAGGGUUUCGGCUCGUAAAACUCUGUUAUUAGGGAAGAACAAAUGUGUAAGUAACUGUGCACGUCCUGACGGUACCUAAUCAGAAAGCCACGGCUAACUACGUG